ACCUCAUCACAUAGUGAGAGAGAAUUUCUCCAUCCCUGUGGACAAAAUUACUGUGGAAGAUGAUUCUGGCACUGAGAUGGAUGGAGCAGUAUUUGCAGAAUUAUCCUCUCUGGAAGGGAUUUGUUUUGUUAUCAAGGACAGUCAUGAUGACAAUGGCACAUUUAAAAAAUAGAUUGGUUUUACAUUGUAUUAACAGAAGUGGUCAUUGGAGAUGCAACCACUGCACUGACUUGAUUAUCUUAAAUCCAGUUUUAAUAUCAGCAUAUGGCAAAUUAAGACACCUGUUAGAAAAAGGUUUAACUUGAAGUAAUGGGUUUAGUUGAUAAGUGAUUGUUUCAAAAAAGCAAUGUCUUUAUAGCACAAAAUGUGGCAUAGCAAAGGAUACACUUUCUCUAUUGAUUCCUAAUUGUUCAGUCAGGAAAGAUACAAGUGAGUUUCUGAUGUGGCUGAAAGCAGGGGUCAUGUCCGGUGCUGAAUUAAAGAUUUUAUCCACAAUUCAACUGCAAAUGAAGUGAAUUCUUUAUAUCUUUUGUUCUGAGAUUCAGGCACAUCUCAGUCAUCACUUCCAUCCAGUUUCCACUCUGUGUACAUCAGACCACCCAAGUGAAUUAGAAGCGAUGGAGAAGCAUUGCAGAGUUUUUCAGCCAGAGAGCUGAUAAACAGAUCCUGCUGACAAAACCUGGAGGGACAACAGUGCUUGAAAAAUAUGAGGAGACUAGGAUGCUGCGUGACAGUAGAAGACAGAUGGUCUUCUUGCAGCGCACAUGGUUGACACUGAGGGGCAAGAUGAUGAUAGCAGGAUAUAGAUUUGAUUCAAUGACUUCAUAAUGGCUAAAGUGGCAUUGGAUUUCUGGCGUACCAGCUAAAGACAAUUCAGAGAAAGAACGAAACUUGUGUCCCAGGAUCCGAAAACACAAACUGCAGUAGGAGGUGGUCCAAGACAGGAAAGGGAGCUGCCUCUGAUUGGGGGUCAGCUAGAUGAAGAGCAUUGUAAAGAAGUCAUAUCCUUGAUGAACCACACCAAUGACAGAGAAAUCAUCCUGCAGAAGACGAAGGGGACCUUUGAGUAUAGACAGCACCUCAUCCACAACCCAAUGAAUCACACACACUGUACUCUCUGUGUUUCCAAGGCUGGCAGAUCUCACAAGAAGAUGCUAGAAGAUGCAAGGUCGGGACUGGCGAAGAGGAUAAAUCAACCCUCUACAUCUCAUAGUCAAAACACCAGGCAAAAGAAAUUUGUGCUUCGAUCAUAGCAAAAUUACAGGGGAGUGGUGUUGCCAACAAUGGUGUAUUAUCUGUUGUUGAAAGCAUGGGAGAGAAGUUCAUGAAAAUCUUUAAGAACAACUGUUAAUGGCAGUACCUGUUGAGAAUCCCAGUUGAACUGCAGUGGGAGUUGUCUUCAGUAAUACUGACAAUCCAGGUAGUGAUUUGACACGAACUCUAAAUGGACAAGGUAUUUUAGUGAGAAAUGGAGUGUUGUUGAACCAGUGGAAAUUUGCUUAAGAGUGAGAUAUGAUUCAAAGAGAAACAAAGUAUUUGGAGUAUAUGAGCAGGUACCAGUAAAUGACACUUUCAUUUAUGUACACCUGUUAAAAACAUUAGAGUUCAUUUUCAAGAAUGAGGAAAUCUGUUGUCAAACUACUACUGCAGGAUGUGUCUUACUGACAGAGCAUCAACUCAAACAGUGUUCCUUUUUUGGGAUUUUUUGAGAUCAAACGCAAUAGCAUACUCAAUACUUUGGCAUACGUCAAUGGAUCAGAUAAUUUUGUGUUCAACAUAAUGCACAUAUCUAGAAGGUGUAGCACAGUAUGAAGUUGUUGUUUGAAUAUUUUAAUUAUAAUUUUAUUUCCAAUGAAAAUAUACUCCAAUGUGUAUAUGCAUUCAGCUAUUUAGGGAUAAAAAGAAUCAUCCAACGCACAUAAACAUGUUGUGCACUGGCAAUGGUAUUGGGCUUAAUGCCAGUCAAACAUUAUGCCUCCCAUUGAUCUUCGUUGAUGUUGUCCCAGAAGGUGACAGACACUGGCAUCUGUUGAUACUGUUUUUGCAUAUGAUUAACAUUGUAUUUUCCCCAUGUAUUUCAGAGAGAACGACAGCAUUUUUGAAAGAUCUUAUUGAAGAGCAUCAUCAAUUAUUUACAGAUUUGUAUCCUCAAAAUAAUUUGAUCCCAAAACAUCACUUCAUGGUCCACUAUCCUGAGUGUAUAUUUUCAAAAUUGGUCCUUUAUUACAUGUUUGGAGUAUGGAUAUGAAGCCAAAUACAAAUUCUUUAAGUCCAGCAUUAAAAACUUCAAUAACAGAACAAAGUCUCUUGCAAAGAAACACCAAAUACCUGUUGGCUAUCAUUGGGAAUCACUGUCUGCCAAAGGUAUUGAGUCUGAGAUUCUCAAAAUGAAAAUACUGACUGAUGUUGAAAAUGGUGAUUUGAUUUCAGAACACUUUCAAAUUGAUAUGUCAAGUGAAAUAAGUGUCACAACUUGAGUUAAACAUAAUGGUACUGAAUAUCACAUGGGUCUUGUUUGCACUGAUUUUAUUCAUGAAAUACCAGUGUUCUGUAAGGUUGUUUGCAUCUUUCUGAGAAAUGAAGCCUGUUUUUUGGUAUCAGAAAUGGAGACUACAUUUGUAGAGCAUUUUCAUGCUUUUCAUGUUGUUGACCAAGCGCAUAAUGUUCAUUACACCUCAUGAGUUGCGAUAUUUGAAGCCCUUUGACGUCCAAAUGUCCUAUGGUACAGACUCAUUUUUCUAUGUUGUGCCACACAACUGCAUUGUAUAGGGUAAGCAACAGUAAUGAGCUACCUCAUGUUUUUGGUAGUACUACACUGCACAAGGUCACUGCAGCAUUUUUAAAAAAUUUUUUUUUAUGGGUGCUCUGUUUGUCAAAUAUAAUGUGAAGCCCUUGUUACAGGAAAUUUCUCUCAUUGCAGUACCUAUAGUAAGUGAUUAUUGCACAUUGGUGAAUUCAUUGGUCAAUUCCGGUAGACUAUCUACUUUGUUACAUUAUUCAACAAUAGUUUAGUGUAAAUUUUAAGUGAUUAAUUGAGGGACUGUCACCAUUAAGUGUUAUCUGUACAUCGGUACAGUGUUGACCAGUUACUCCAUGAGUGUUGUUAUCCAUUAAAUAAUUUACACUAUAA